GACAGGAAGUUACUCUGGGCAACCUCUCUCAAAUACCGAACAUUAAGAGUGCUUAACCCCUGACCGCCCCUCCUCUUACCUAGGUCUGAAGCCGCCAGCGGCUCAGCACUCCCCAGCCUGGACAACGGCCUAGCAGGAGAGACACCAAGCCCGGAGCUCGGCCCCAGGGAGAUUCUUCCUUCGGGCCGCCUCUCCGAGCCCGCUGCGGGCCCGGGGCACGUCGCACGCAGUAGCUGGGUGUUGAAGAUUUUGAAAUGCAGCUCAUUCAGUUAAAAAGCUCAGAAAUUUGGGCAUCAAAGUUUGGAGAUCUGUGGAGUGCACUUGAAGUUGCCAAGAGAGAUCAUGGGGCCUCUAUUCUGACCUGCUGGAUGUCCCUGCCAGUGAAAUUUAACUGUUUGAAGAAAAUUGUGUUUGCAAUGCUUUCAACAUUGGAUCCACAUACCUGUGUGAACAGUUUUUUUUCACACAUAACAUCUGUCCUCUGUCCCUCUCAGAGCCAGUUAACAACUGAUCACUCAGAAGCCUGUGUGCAGCUUAAAGUAUCCAAAUAUGUGCCAGACAUUGGAAAACUCAGCAAGGAAAAGCAAGGGCAAGGAUCACACUAAACUGAAAAGAUCCGCAUUUUAAUUUAAUUUUAAAUGAAGCUUCUUAAACAUUUAAAAAACCUUAUUUACUUUACAUACAACAAUAGUUUAGUUAUAUAUUAUGUACUUAUAGAAAGAGACCUUCUAAAAAUGUUAAAAUGUAUUACAGGCACGCAAAACCUUAAAUUAGAGUGAAUAAAUGAAGACUCAACACACCACUUCUGAAAGGUUACAACCCCUGUACUAGAUCUACUAAAGUACUCUUCCCAUACAGAGGGAUUACCCUGAGGCGGCUAUUCGAACAGUAAUACAGAUUCACAUGUGUGAAGAAGAGGAAGAUCUUCUAUUCUUUCUUACUGGACAAGAGGAGAUUGAUGAAGCCUGUAAGAGGAUAAAGCGUGAAAUUGAUGAUUGAUAUUUACUUCAUGCAUAUGUAUCAUAUAUUCCCUUGUGAGUUAAUCAUUUUUAAUCUUAACAUUGAAUUAGGUUUAACAAUAUGUACACAAAUGGUAGCUUUGGAGUCCUAGAACUUGGAAAGAAUAAAAAAUGACAAUGUUAUGGAGGAAAUAUUAGGUGAAGACCACUAGAGGAUGCCAAAAAGUGCAUAGCACACCAGUUGAAGGUCAUAUCUUUUGAAUUAUGGAAGGUCAAGUCUAGGCAAAAUCAUUCAGUAUUGUGGACUGGAAAUGUUCUUACCUGAUCAUUUCCUUUCUGCAAGCAGUGUCUCCCAGAAUUCUGCAGCAUAUGGACUAUUCCCCUCCUGUUUCAGAUUCCAGAGGCAAUUCAAAGCUGUAUCACAGUCUGUGCUAGCCACACCCCCUUCUCCAGCCUGCUGCCAGAUGAUGAAUGCCAAAGCUGUGUAAAAAUUGAUAGAAAAUAAUUAGUAACAAUAAUUCCAAUGCUAACCAAGUAACUACGUACAGCAAGUCCUUGUUUAUAUGGUAACUAUCCAAAUAGUUGGAGAGCUCUCCAGGGUGGGUAGAACUGUGGAAGAUGCUGAUAGCAGAAAGGAAAUUAUUGGGUAAGAAAUUUUUCAUUCUGCAACCUAACACCUUCCACAAUUCUGCUACAUGUGGGAAGUAACAAGCAGUAGACAGUAAUGGGGAGGGAUAAGAGAACAAACAAAGAAAAUAAACCCUUCAGGACUGCUCAGAUGGCAAGGUUAUUACUGGACCACCACCUGCAGUACCCUCCUGCCAAAGCAGGCCUCAGGAAGACAAAAAAUCCACUUAAUAGCAUCUGAUUAAGGUGUUAAUUGAUGUCCAGGUUGCUGCUCUGCAGUGAUGCUCUUUCGGCCCCUGAGGUUGCCAUGGGAUUUUGUGAAAUGCACCUUGAUUCCUUCUGGAACAGCCACACUGGAUGCCUUCUGGAACUCAAGGACACAGUCCGAUCCAUCUGGCCAGGGUUAACUUGGGUUACUUUAAGGCCCUGACACCUUGAGUGAAAGGAAACAAACUCCCUAUGGAUUCUGUGUGCUUGAUAUAAAUCUUUAGUGCUCAUCUGACAUUCAAGGUGUGCCAUAGCUUCUCAGUUGGUUGCUGUGGCUUUGGACAGAAUGAAGAGAGGAAAAUCUCCUGCGAGGCAUGGAAAGGAUAAUUUACUUUAGGCAACAACAUUACUGGAGAUCUUAGCAACACCUUGUCAUCAUGGAAUGUGCAGUAAGGUUCCUGCAUAGAUAAGGCAUCUAGUUCUGAAACUCGUCUGGUGGAUGUGAUGACGACCAAACCAGAUUUUGAUGGAGAGGUAAAAAGGUAAUACAGAUGUUAGAAGUUCAAAGGGAUGGGUGGUUAGAGCUUUCAGCACCAGUGGUAGGUCCCACUUAUGGAAGCUUGGUCUGACUGCUGGUCUGGCCAGUCUGUCCGCUCUGAGAAACCUGGACAGUUCAGGGUUCUUGACCAGGGAGUCCUAGGAUCCUGCAAAACAGUAUGCUACUAAAGGCUGAUACCUAGUGUGCUAUGGUGCUUGGCUGAUGUCUUUUAAUUACUCCUCCUUGAAGGAAGUCUAGAGUAACUGGAUUUAGUCUGUGCUCUUGACAUCAAGCACUGAAUUUGGUCUAGAUGAAAUAACAGGCUUUUAGUAUGGAAGCUCUCUUAGAAGACAGCAGAAUCCCUAUCAUGUUGGAAGAUAGGCCAAGCACAGCUAACACUUCCCUUCCAACAGUCAGGCUGCCAGAUGAAAAUGGUCUGGGUCCAGAUAGAUGAACGGUCCAGGUCCAGAUAGGCAAAUGGACGUCUGGCCUCACAGUAGCUGCAGUGGUGGUUUCAGCUUUGAGUUCUAUGAUAUCAGAGAACCAGGGUCUCCUUGGCCAGUGCAGAGUUAGCACUAUCACCCUUGCUUCUUCUCACCUUAACUUUUUGAUUACUUUCUUUAUGACAGGUAAGUGCAGGAAGGAAUAUAGCAAGCUUUGAGGCUAUCUGUGUGACGGCAUCUGUGCCCACAGACUUGGGGUCUGCAAGGUCUGAUGAAGUAUUUUGGUUGUUUUGCAUUCUUGCAAUUGGCAAACAGCUCUACUGAAGGAAGACAGUGUCUGUGGUUUAGGCACCAUUCUGAGUUGUUGAUAUUGCAAUGAUUGAGCCAGUCUGCCUUUGGGUUCAGCUCCCCCUUGAAGUGGAUCACCUUUAAGAAAGGAAGAGUCAUUUUUGCCCACUCAGUUUUCUCCAUUGCUUCUGCACAUAGACAUACUUUCCUUGUCCUUCCUUGGUUAAGGACAUAAGACUGGCCAUACUGAGUUAGAUCAAUGGUCCAUCUAGCCCAGUAUCCUGUCUUCCAACAGUGGCCAGUGCCAGGUGCUUCAGAGGGAAUGAACAUAACAGGGCAAUUAUAGUGUGAUCCAUCCCCUAUCAUCCACUCAAGGCAUCUGGCAGUCAGUAGUUUAGGGACACUCAGAGCAUGAGGUUGCAUUCCUGACCAUCUUGGCUAAUAGCCAUUGACGGACUUAUCCUCCCUAAAAAAAAUUUUUUAACCCAAAUAUACUUUUGGCCUUCACAACAUCCCCAGCAGUGAGUUCCAUAGGUUGACUGUGUGUUGUGUGAAGAAGCACUUCCUUAUGUUUGCUUUAAAUCUGCCUUCUAUUAAUUUCAUUGGGUAACCCCUAGUUCUUGUGUUUAUGUGAAGGGGUGAUUUUACAGACCUUUAUCAUAUCCAUGGUCAUCUCUUUUCUAAAAUAAACAAACAGUCCAGUCUUUUUAACCUC